rnacentral:rRNA from 1 species
GUAACGAGCGCAACCCUUGUCCUUAGUUACCAGCACGUUAUGGUGGGCACUCUAAGGAGACUGCCGGUGACAAACCGGAGGGAAGGUGGGGAUGACGUCAAGUCAUCAUGGCCCUUACGGCCUGGGCUACACACGUGCUACAAUGGUCGGUACAAAGGGUUGCCAAGCCGCGAGGUGGAGCUAAUCCAUAAAACCGAUCGUAGUCCGGAUCGCAGUCUGCAACUCGACUGCGUGAAGUCGGAAUCGCUAGUAAUCGUGAAUCAGAAUGUCACGGUGAAUACGUUCCCGGGCCUU